rnacentral:misc_RNA from 1 species
GAUGAAGAACGUAGCGAAAUGCGAUAAGUAGUGUGAAUUGCAGAAUUCAGUGAAUCAUCGAAUCUUUGAACGCACAUUGCGCCCUUUGGUAUUCCAAAGGGCAUGCCUGUUCGAGCGUCAUUUGUACCCUCAAGCUUUGCUUGGUGUUGGGCGUCUUGUCUCUAGCUUUGCUGGAGACUCGCCUCAAAACAAUUGGCAGCCGGCGUACUUGUUUCGGAGCGCAGCACAUUUUGCGAUCCAGAUCAACGUACAGCGGCAUCCAAGAAGCCUUAUUUAACGCUCUUGACCUCGGAUCAGGUAGGGAUACCCGCUGAACUUAAGCAUAUCAAUAAGCGGAGGA